UUCAGGCUCCGGAGCUGAGUCUCCUGUGAUCCCAAUAAGGAAGGAGAAUGGAGAAACUCCUGACCGUGUCUUUGGUGAUUCUGUGGCUUCAACUGGCCAGGGUGAAUAGCCAGCAAGGAGCUGAGAAUCUUCAGGCCCUGAGCAUCCAGGAGGGUGAAAAUGCCACCAUGAACUGCAGUUAUAAAACUGCUAUAGAAACCUUACAUUGGUACAGACAGGAUUCAAGGAGAGGCUUUGCCCACCUGAUUUUAAUACGUUCAAAUGAGAGAGAGAAGCUUAGUGGAAGACUGCGAGUCACGCUUGACAACUCCAUCAAAGGCAGUUCCCUGUCCAUCACGGCUUCCCAGGCUGCAGACACUGCUACUUACCUCUGUGCUACGGAUACACAGUGCUCACCAGGCAACUGCAGCCCCAACGCAAAAGAGGCAGCCCUGCCAGAGCUGCCUCUUAGAAGCCGCAACAGUGUGUAGACUUGGUGGUUAUGUCUUCCCACAAAGGAGAGUCUACAAACAGCUGGCAACAGGAAAGGGAGGCCUGUCAAAUUCCUGAUGUUUUUGGCAGCAUGUUAGACUAGGGUAAAGGGCAUGAGAUUUAGAACGGGAAACUGAAAUACCAGCUUCAGCUCUGCCCAUCCUGGCUCUGUGUCCUUAAGCACACCAUCAGUGUAGCA